GCUCACAAGCUGAUAUGCAGGUUUUACACAUUUCUCUGGUAACAGGCCAACCUCGAGCAUGAGCUUCUUGAUAUAAAUCUUUCACACCUGUGUGCUGUCUUUUGACAUGCAGCCAUUCUAACAGUUGAUCUCGUUCCUCUGUAAUUUGCUCCUUUUUCAGGGGACUAAGCCUUGCUAGUUCAUCAGCUUUAUUAUUCCACUCUCCUGCUGGAUUUCCGUCUGUUUGAUGAGAGGCUACCCAUCCCACUGCAAAAUUCCCCUGACUUGCAAUAUUUAAUAUUUCUUGCCAUUUUUCCUUUUGCCAAACUGGGAUUCUAUUCACUUCCCAAUCAUUUUGUUGCCAAAAAGGAAGCCACUCAGUACAACCUUUGUAGACAGCAUAAGAGUCAGUGUAAAUGUAGACUGAAGAGGAAUUUUGUGCUUCUAUUUGGAAAACACUCCAGACGGCUAUUAGUUCCCCAACCUCUGUGCUACCUUCUCCCUCUGUGAUAAUUUGCUCACCAGAAGAGAUGUGGAGUGCUGCUGCUCUAUAUUUCCAUAUCUUUCCUUCCCUUUUAGCAGAAGCAUCAGUGAACCAGGAGUUUGCUGAUUUUUCAGGGCAGAAAGGAGGGGCCACUUUGAUUACAGAGGCAGGUUUGUCCUGGCUGCUAUCCAAGCUCUCAGUUUCUUGUAUUGCCAAAUUUUUCACAGCUCCUUCUGUUAUUGUAAAGAUGUUACAGUAAUGUUCAAUCUGAGCAUACCACUUUCUUACUGAGGCCCUCUGGGCCACCCCGUCAGGAGGGGGGGUCCCAGUAGUGACUGUCUUAGUAUCAUUGAAAGGGCUUCUCAAUACAAUUGGUAGUUGUAGUGCAAGUCUUUCCACUUCAAUGAGAGCCAGGCUGACCACAAACAAUCCCUUUUCCCAGGUAGUGUACCUUUUCUCAGCAUCUCUGAAACCACGGGAAUAGAAACCAACAGGCAUUGUUGGACCCUCGGGUCCCCGCUGCCAAAUGUGUACUGACAAUCCUGAGACAGCAAAUCCCCAUUCUACCUGAAAGGGGACUGUAGGAUGAAUAGGGCCCAGUGCUUGAUGAGCAGUUGCUUCAAAAAUCAGUAAUUGCAAUGCUUCUUCCUGAGAAGGAGUUUUACCCCUUUCCUUAGCAAGUCAUAAAGGGGCCUAGCAAUUAUUGAGAAAUCUGGAAUGUGUUUUCUCCAAAACACUAAUAAUCCCAGAGCCUGUUGUAGAUCUUUCCUGGAAUGAGGCAUUUUAAUCUGAUCUAAAGAAGUUAAGGUAUCAGGUGGAAUACAUGUCAUGCCUCCUUUCCACCAAAUCCCCAGAAACUUUACUUCUUGAGAGGGUUUUUGAACCUUUUCUGGGGGGAUCUGUAAAUCGAGACUCUCUAAAUGGGAGAUUAUUUUCUGUUGAGUCUCUCUUACUGCUUCAAUUUCAUCCCCUCCCACCAAAAUAUCAUCAAUGUAUUGAUACACUGCUACAUCAUCAGGUUUGGAUAUCUCCUCUAGUUCUUUAGCUAAGGCAUGGUGGGCUAAGGUGGGUGAAUGCUUGUAUCCUUGUGGGAGUCUAGUGGAAGUGUAUUGCUGUCCUUCCCACGUAAAGGCAAAACGGUCCAUGUCUUCUGGUUGUAAUGGUAUCAUAAAGAACAUAUCUUUGACAUCUAUAGUUGCCAUAAUUGGAUGAGCUUUUUCUUGAAUAGAUGUUAUUAAUUCUGCUAAGUUUGGGACCGCUGCUGUGAGAGGAUCUGUGUUGGCAUUAAGCCUGCGAAAAUCGACUGUCAGUCUCCAUUUCCCAUUAGGUUUUCGGACUGGCCAGACGGGUGAGUUGAGGCUGGGGCUGGGGCUGGGGCAGCCAGCCCGACACAACCAAACCCCCAUGGUGGGAGCAGAGGUGGGACUCCAGACCCUGUGCAGGGGCUGCUUUGCUUUGCAGGCAAGGAAGGGCUUGGGCUGCUCCUCUGCCCUUGUUUGCUUUGGGAACACCAUGGGGGCAGUGCAGAGAGAAGGGAGAAAGCCUGGGAUUCCCUCACCCAUGGUGGGUUUUUCCCUGGCAUGCAGGGGUUGGACCUUCCUCAAGUCCCUGACAGAGAUAAGAUUUUUGACCUUUAUCCUCACUCCUCUUUUUGUCUGUAAUCUAUUUUCAGUAAUUCGAUGUUUGUUUUUCUAGAGGAAGCGUUCUAUGUAAGGUCCAGUCUGGAUCAGGAAGUGCUUGGGAGCAGCUGCGGCGUGGAUGGGCCGUGCCCUUGGAGAAGGCUGAGGACAUCGUUUGGGACCAGCUUUUCUCCCAGCGGUGGAUGGCGUGAGCCGGGCUCUGCGGGUGCUGAGGCUGCUCUGGGCCCUGCCAGGGCUCUGCUGGAGCUCAGCACCGGGCUGCAAUCAGCAAAAGGAGAAAUGGGGUGCCCUGCAGCACAGACUUGCUUGAGCAUUUCAGCAACACAGUUCAAGUUUGCAGAGUGUACACCUCCAAGGGAAAACAUGGCACCACCCAAAAAAUAAACUUGUUCAAUAACUUCUGAAA